GAUUCCCUUAGUAACGGCGAGCGAACAGGGAACAGUCCAGCGCCAAGUCUUGACGCCUCGAUGUGUUCAAGAGAUGCGGCGUUAAUGUGUUGGCGCAUCAUACAUUGUUCCACGUUUCAAGUUCCUUUGACAGGGACAUCCAGAGCGGGUGCUAGGCCCAUAGAGACGAGGAGCUGAUGUAUGCCAGCCAAUACAUUCUAGAGUCAGGUUGUUUGAGAGUACAGCCUAAAGUCGGUGGUAGACUCCAUCCAAGACUAAAUAUCACAGCGAGACCGAUAGCAAACAAGUACCGUGAGGGAAAGUUGAAAAGCACUUUGAAGAGAGAGUUAAACAGUACGUGAAACCACUGGGAGGCAAACAGAUGGAACCACGAAGUUUGCGUCUCGGACGAUUCAAUCAUCACUGCCGGUUUGCGGCAUGCGUCAUGGAUCUCUUUGGAGAUUGGACGCCGGCCGUAGCGRACCGGCGGUGGUGGUGCAUUUCGUUCCGGGAAUGCCAAGCCACGUUCGACUAGACAGUUGGGACGGCCGUCGGGCAGGGUCCAAGAAAGGUGACCGCCAAGUGCUUGCGCUUGGCGGUGUUAUAGUCUUGGAUCGGAACCGUCGCCUAACAWGCUGGUCGAUGGAAUUACUCCCUCCGGGAGUGUUUAGUUGCGUCUGCCUCCGCACGUUAUCCGUGGGCGUUGGUGUGUUCUUUUGGUGUUUUGCGAUGCCAAAAGGCACGUCAACGUCACCGGUUAGCGGGUGGUUGCGUGACGCAACCAAACUGUGGCGCGAGUAGGUCGGUGUCCCUCUGACCCGUCUUGAAACACGGACCAAGGAGCCUAACAUGUACGCGAGUCGCUCGGUCUUGAAUAGGCCCGGGAGGCGAAAUGAAAGUAAAACUACGAGACCGUAAAACAGUCGCAGUAGUGGCACGCCUACUUCGUUUAUUGGCGAUAUGGCGUAGCUGGAGCGUAUACGUUGGUACCCGAAAGAUGGUGAACUAUGCCUGGGCAAGACGAAGCCAGAGGAAACUCUGGUGGAGGUCUGUAGCGAUUCUGACGUGCAAAUCGAUCGUCAGACCUGGGUAUAGGGGCGAAAGACUAAUCGAACCAUCUAGUAGCUGGUUCCCUCCGAAGUUUCCCUCAGGAUAGCAGGCGCUCGUGGAACUCAGUCUCAUCCGGUAAAGCUAAUGAUUAGAGGUCUUGGGGUUGAAACGACCUCAACCUAUUCUCAAACUUUAAAUGGGUGAGAUGGUUGACUUUCUUGAUUGAAGCCAACCAGUAGGAUGUGAGUGCCUAGUGGGCCAUUUUUGGUAAGCAGAACUGGCGCUGUGGGAUGCUCCAAACGCCGAGAUAAGGUAUCAAAUGCGCACGCUCAUCAGACCCCAUGAAAGGUGUUGGUUGCUAUAGACAGCAGGACGGUGGCCAUGGAAGUCGGAAUCC
rnacentral:rRNA from 1 species